ACAGGUUUGCUGUUUAAAGAUUUCCUUUGGCUCUCAGCAGAUAAGAGGCCAAUAUACUCAAACUCUUAUCUACUGCAGUGAAUACAUUAAGUGGCAUUGAUAAGGUUGGAAAUGUGGCAUAGGCAUAUUGAGUCUAAUGGCUUGUUAAGUGCAUGUGUCAGCUUCUUCUUUCUGAAAACUUCAGGAAGAACUGCAUGCUCCUGAUAAAUUUAUUUAAAUUGCCACCCUUGACACACAAACAGAAUAGAAUACCUUAAUUAGAGUAAGAAAGUUGUUCACUUUCCUGCGUCACUAAUGGAGAUUGACAGAGGACUUACUUAGAGAGUUAUAAAUAGAAUUUAGGCUGCUGUGAGGAAAAGAGAAACCAAAAUGAUACCAGCUGUACCAGGAGAAGAACUGAAGAGGCAUCCAAGGAUGUUUUCCUAGUCAUCAAUUCCCAGGUCUUCACUAUUUUUAGGGGCUGACAGUUUUAUAAAUAAGUCAGCAAGGGCUUUUCCACCUUACCUUAAUCUGCUAUGAGUUGCUGGUUUGAGCUCAAGUGGUGACAAUUCAAAGAAGAACAUUCAUGGGGCUAUGUUUUCAACAGAACUGGUGAAACCAUAUCCACACAGGCUAUGGAAGCAGACUCAGCAGACUUGCUGUUCAAAAGACCAUUCCUAAGGAUUUUUAAGAAUUUUUUUUCUGUUGAAAAAAAAAAAACCUGUAUUUCCAAUCUCAUCUGCAUGUACUGCCACAACAUACUGGAUGUAAAUAAAUUUAAAGAGAUUGUGGACGGUAAGGUCUUGUGGAAGGAUCUACUUCAUGGAUGGCAUCUGCUACUGUGCACAUUCAUUCAUUCAUUGAUGUUAAACAUGUUCUUCACAACCCAGAAUUCAGAGUGAUUCAGUAAAGAGAGGACAUGAAGCUGCAGCUUCCCUACCCUAAAUGAAGCUGCAGCCUAAAUGAAGCCACAGCGACCAUCUUUGCAAAGGGCACACAGUGUCCAUUACUGCAGGCCAUGGCUGUGGAGGCCACCACAGCAGGCGGCAAUGGAUGAUGGCAGCACCAGAUAGUGGCAGAGGCUAAGGUAGGGAGAGGAAGGAGGCAGGGGAUAGGCUGUGGGCAUGGGUGGCUGUGGGCGUGGGUGGCUGCCUAUUGGCCUGUUGAUUGGCAGGCCCAUAGGCAGAAUGGGAAAGCCAUAGGAAGAGAGGGAAGGCUGGCCUUCCAGAAGACCCAGCCAACAUACCAAUGAGUGGGAAUUCUGAGAGUUGCAAUCCAGAAUCAUCUGGGGAAUCAUACAUGGGAAACACAAUCUUGAAGGAUGACGUUUUACAGCUGGGAAUGCUCAUAAGCGGAGACAUACAAGUCUUCUGUGGCACACAGCAUUCGGGAGUUCUUAAGUUUACCUUAAA
rnacentral:lncRNA from 1 species